GACGAACGCUGGCGGCGUGCCUAAUACAUGCAAGUCGAGCGGACUGAAUGGGAGCUUGCUCUUGUUCGGUCAGCGGCGGACGGGUGAGUAACACGUGGGCAACCUGCCCGCAAGACCGGGAUAACUCCGGGAAACCGGAGCUAAUACCGGAUAACACCGAAGACCGCAUGGUCUUUGGUUGAAAGGCGGCGCAAGCUGCCACUUGCGGAUGGGCCCGCGGCGCAUUAGCUAGUUGGUGAGGUAACGGCUCACCAAGGCGACGAUGCGUAGCCGGCCUGAGAGGGUGACCGGCCACACUGGGACUGAGACACGGCCCAGACUCCUACGGGAGGCAGCAGUAGGGAAUCUUCCGCAAUGGGCGAAAGCCUGACGGAGCGACGCCGCGUGAGCGAAGAAGGCCUUCGGGUCGUAAAGCUCUGUUGUGAGGGACGAAGGAGCGCCGUUUGAAGAAGGCGGCGCGGUGACGGUACCUCACGAGGAAGCCCCGGCUAACUACGU
rnacentral:rRNA from 1 species